UCAACAGACCCGAUCAGAAAUUCUCCGAGCACAUCAAGGAUGACAGGGCGGACGAUUUUCAGAAACGCUACAUUCUCAAACGAGACAACUCCAGCUUUGAUCGGGACGACAACACGAUCCGAAUGCGUUUGAAAGCUGACAAGAGGAGCAAAUCGAUGGAGGAGCGGGAGGAGGAGUACCAGCGAGCCAGAGAAAGGAUAUUUGCACAUGAUGGAGAUCACUUCAUACUCGAUAGAAGUGCUCAGGAUGAAGGCGCAUGCAUGAGCACCCAACAGAGGCGGCAAAUGUUCAGGUAGGUGCA